rnacentral:lncRNA from 1 species
UAGUCUGAAAAACAAGUGGGAAAUUUUGCAGGAGGUUAGGCUCUCAUCACUUAUCAAGGUAUUAAACAGACUUGAAUGGUCAUCGUGAUUAUUGUAAUUUCAUUAAGAGUGAGAACGGCUGGUAAAUAUGUUUACCUGCACUUUUUAGAAUCCUGUUGUUCGGUACUUUCAUCCCCAUCAUGGAGGAUACAGUCCACCUGUUCUUUGUGGAGAUUCUGGGAAGAAAAAAAGAAAGAAUCUGAGAUUUGGCUGCUCUUCUUCACCGGUUAUGUUUCAUGGUCCUUUUUACAUUCAAAGGAUAAAAUGGAGAAUUUCCAUACAGUUUUCUUAUUAUUUGACUAGUGUUAUAUUUCUCUUCUUGUAAAAAGGAGUCAAAUUUUCUUCACUUUAUUUGAAUUUUGAAAUUGUCAACUUGAAAAACUUUCUAUCAGUUACAAUUCCUGCAUUCUCCUUUUCCCCCAUAUUGUAUCAUCUUCACUGUAUCUAACAGUUAAUGAGCAAAUUACUCAUCUUUAUCACAUACUAUACAAUCUAAAGUAAAGCUUUUAAGAAUACAUUCAUUAUGAAAUGUGGUAUUGCUGUCAUCUGAUAGAUGCCAAGGGGAACAAGGAAAGUUCAAAUAAAAAUGUGAGUCGCCUUCCA